rnacentral:rRNA from 1 species
AUUGAACGCUGGCGGCAGGCCUAACACAUGCAAGUCGAACGAGUGGCGGACGGGUGAGUAAUGUCUGGGAAACUGCCUGAUGGAGGGGGAUAACUACUGGAAACGGUAGCUAAUACUGCUUACCACUGGCUGUGCCGAAAUGGGAUUAGCUAGUAGGGGGGGUAAAGGCUCACCUAGGCGACGAUCCCUAGCUGGUCUGAGAGGAUGACCAGCCACACUGGAACUGAGACACGGUCCAGACUCCUACGGGAGGCAGCAGUGGGGAAUAUUGCACAAUGGGCGCAAGCCUGAUGCAGCCAUGCCGCGUGUAUGAAGAAGGCCUUCGGGUUGUAAAGUACUUUCAGCGGGGAGGCGUUACCCGCAGAAGAAGCACCGGCUAACUCCGUGCCAGCAGCCGCGGUAAUUC